CUCUCCAGGAAGUGACGUCACGCAAAGAGCUUUUUCUCCCUCCUCCUCAGCCCCCUACCCCCCGGAGGCACUAAUUCGAAUUGUGCGUGCGGCUAGGGCUCUUUGGCAGCUGGGUUGGACCUAGUGUUGUGAUGAGGAAAUUGAGUGUUCACAUUACUAUGUCUUUUCUACAAAUUACACCAAAAUGAACAUUUGUUAUGCUCAUGGAUUUGUGGAUCAGGGAUUCAAAUGGGGAUGGCUUAUCUCCACUUCACAAUGUCUGAGGCCUCAGGUGGAGCACUUGAAGGCUGCGUCUGUCAUCACCUGAAGACUCAUCUGCUCACAUGUCCAGGCAUUGAUGCUGGUGGAUGGGCUUCAUUCUAACCUAUCGAUUUUUAUCGUCAAUGAAAUGUAAGUGCCAUCCGACACCGUAUUCCACCGGAGCUGAUCAGGUUUGGCCAGAUCUCUGAGGAGAGAUUCUACCUAUUCCCUGUAUACAAUGAACUGAGGAAAACUACUGACAUACGACUUACAAAGGAGAUAGCUUGAGACUGGUAUUGGAAACUUUGUCCCUCACCCAUCAAAAGAAAUAAAGCACCUCUCCCCCAGAAAAGUAGAAAUAAAUCGCUGCAGUCCGUUUUCAAUUUCCUGGAGGAUUUAGAAAUACUUGACACCAGAUACUUAAAUCUCAAAAUACUGCACAUCGAGCUCAGCACUGCCUGUAGGAAGGAGGUUCUGAGGCAGCUGUCUAAAGCUUCAGUUACACAAAGUCAAAGGCAGUGGCGAAACAGGUGCUCCUACUCCUGACAGAUUAUCUGAACGUCAGUAGUCAUCGACAUCUACGUCACCACCCCUACAUCAUUCCCCUCACUUCAUCUGAUCACACAGGCAUUUUAUCGUGUCACAUCAUCACAAGAAGGGAAAACUAACAUUCGAAAACAAACCUGACAACAUGGCAAAAGUGAAGCAGAAGAAGCACACCUGCGAGCUCACCUGAGGCAGGGCAGACCUCCGUAGGUUACUGACAAGCCUAAGAGCCCCGGAUGCAGCUGUACCGCCCUCAGGCGGCGGCGACUGGACCUCGCCUGGCGGCCGGCGCGGCGCUCCCUACGAAAGCGCCUGCGCAAAGCCAAGAAGUGGCGGCAGCUGAGGGGCAAGCGCCCCGUGGUGAGGAGGCAGCUGAGGGACGUGUUCCCCCUGCUUAGUUUGGUGGACAACCUGGUGGGCGUCUGUAAGGGACCUUCAGCAUUAUGGGAAUCAUGUCUGAGAUUAUCGGCCACAACCAGGGUGAGUUCUCCAUCAACCCUGGAAGCAAGACGCAUCCGUGCACCCACUCCCGCUUCAUCCUCCUCAAGUGGCAUGAAAGGUACAGACUUUUUUUUUUUUAUGUUUUUUACAAAUAUUUUGUUUAAUGAAGCUGAUACCGUGUCACAUCCCACGCCAAAAAGUGAAAAGAAAAUAUAAAAAGUGCAGUGCUCUGUUGUAUACACUUCUGCGUGAAUAACUUUAUUAACUGCUAGUGACACUUAGGACGUUUUUGGGAUCUUAUGGGAUUUUUUAAAAAUCUUAAAAUGCUUUCUCUUCAGUGAAGCCGCCUUUGGAUUUAGUCGUUACUGUCAGUGUGUGUGUUAUCUCGACUCCAAGUUGAUAUUCCGUCUCUUUUGGUCCAGACCCUCAGAUUUUUUAAAUUUGAGAAUUAGGCAACUCAAGGAUUUUCUCUGUCACAUGUUACUAGUGUAUUUUGGGGAGAAACUUAAUUGUAUAAAAUUGAUAUCUAUUAGGAGGAAAAUGAAAAUUAAGGCAACGAUGAGAGGCUGCGUUUCCAAAGAGUAGGCAAACCAAUUGAGUUGGGCCUCAACAUUCUGCAGGUUGUUUUCUCUUUUACCUCCUAUGAACUAGGGGAUGUUUGCUUAUUCUCAGUAGGAGAGGAGACAAAAUUGGUAAAGAGAAGCUCCUACAAGGCAAAGAAGUCAGCAUUGCUCUAAAUGAUUUUUCAGAUCUGAAGAGACAAAAAAUACAGUUUGGUUCUGCCACAUCACCUGGAUUUGAAG